GACGAACGCUGGCGGCGUGCUUAACACAUGCAAGUCGUACGGUAAGGCCCUUUCGGGGGUACACGAGUGGCGAACGGGUGAGUAACACGUGAGUAACCUGCCCACAACUUUGGGAUAACGCUAGGAAACUGGUGCUAAUACUGGAUAUGUGCUCCUGCUGCAUGGUGGGGGUUGGAAAGCUCCGGCGGUUGUGGAUGGACUCGCGGCCUAUCAGCUUGUUGGUGGGGUAGUGGCCUACCAAGGCGGCGACGGGUAGCCGGCCUGAGAGGGUGACCGGCCACAUUGGGACUGAGAUACGGCCCAGACUCCUACGGGAGGCAGCGGUGGGGAAUAUUGCACAAUGGGCGCAAGCCUGAUGCAGCAACGCCGCGUGCGGGAGAACGGCCUUCGGGUUGUAAACCGCUUUCAGCAGGGACGAAGCUUUUUGUGACGGUACCUGCAGAAGAAGCACCGGCUAACUACGUG
rnacentral:rRNA from 1 species